AGUACAUGGCUACUCGUAGGAAUCUCUAUUAAAACGUUAAACCGUAGAAGAACCACGUUUUGGUCUCCGAUACUAAUGAUUCUACAGUUGUACUUCUGAUCUCCCUAACUUCGUAUUCUGGACUUUAUUUUUUAAUGUAUUCUAAUUAUUUAAGUUAGAUCUUAAUACUGGUAGGUAGAUAUUACUACAGUAUAUUGUAU